rnacentral:rRNA from 1 species
UACGAAGGGGGCUAGCGUUGCUCGGAAUCACUGGGCGUAAAGGGUGCGUAGGCGGGUUUUUAAGUCAGGGGUGAAAUCCUGGAGCUCAACUCCAGAACUGCCUUUGAUACUGGCGACCUUGAGUCCGGGAGAGGUGAGUGGAACUGCGAGUGUAGAGGUGAAAUUCGUAGAUAUUCGCAAGAACACCAGUGGCGAAGGCGGCUCACUGGCCCGGUACUGACGCUGAGGUGCGAAAGCGUGGGGAGCAAACAGG